rnacentral:rRNA from 1 species
GACGAACGCUGGCGGCGUGCCUAACACAUGCAAGUCGAACGGAGUAAGUAGCAAUACUUACUUAGUGGCGAACGGGUGAGUAACGCGUAGACAACCUGCCUCUAAACUGGGGACAACACUGCGAAAGUGGUGCUAAUACCGAAUGUGGUAUCUUCGCUGCAUGGUGAAGAUAAGAAAGAUGGCCUCUAUGUAUAAGCUAUCGUUUAGAGAUGGGUCUGCGUCUGAUUAGCUAGUUGGUGAGGUAACGGCUCACCAAGGCAACGAUCAGUAGCCGGUCUGAGAGGAUGAACGGCCACACUGGGACUGAGACACGGCCCAGACUCCUACGGGUGGCUG